UACGGAGGGUGCAAGCGUUAUCCGGAUUCACUGGGUUUAAAGGGUGCGUAGGUGGGCAGGUAAGUCAGUGGUGAAAUCUCCGGGCUUAACUCGGAAACUGCCAUUGAUACUAUCUGUCUUGAAUACCGUGGAGGUUAGCGGAAUAUGUCAUGUAGCGGUGAAAUGCUUAGAUAUGACAUAGAACACCAAUUGCGAAGGCAGCUGGCUACACGAAUAUUGACACUGAUGCACGAAAGCGUGGGGAUCAAACAGGGA
rnacentral:rRNA from 1 species